rfam:Trichomonas vaginalis G3, whole genome shotgun sequence.
ACCGCCCGUCGCUCCUACCGAUUGGAUGACUCGGUGAAAUCACCGGAUGCUUACGAGCAGAAAGUGAUUAAAUCACGUUAUCUAGAGGAAGGAGAAGUCGUAACAAGGUAACGGUAGGUGAACCUGCCGUUGGAUCAGUU